AUUCAACUGACGAGUCCCAAAUAGGACGAAAUGCGCCUUAUCCAGGAU
rnacentral:hammerhead_ribozyme from 1 species